UACGUAGGGUGCAAGCGUUAAUCGGAAUUACUGGGCGUAAAGCGUGCGCAGGCGGUUAUGUAAGACAGUUGUGAAAUCCCCGGGCUCAACCUGGGAACUGCAUCUGUGACUGCAUAGCUAGAGUACGGUAGAGGGGGAUGGAAUUCCGCGUGUAGCAGUGAAAUGCGUAGAUAUGCGGAGGAACACCGAUGGCGAAGGCAAUCCCCUGGACCUGUACUGACGCUCAUGCACGAAAGCGUGGGUAGCGAACAGG
rnacentral:rRNA from 1 species